AGUGAACGCUGGCGGUAGGCCUAACACAUGCAAGUCGAACGGCAGCACAGUAAGCGCUUGCCCCUACGGUUGGCGACGGGCGGACGGGUGAGGCAUACAUCGGCAACUACUUUUUCGUGGGGGAUAACGUAGGGACACUUACGCUAAUACCGCAUACGACCUACGGGUGAAAUCAAGAGAUCUUCAGACCUUGCGCGACUGAAUGAGCUGAUGUCGGAUUAGCUAGUUGGCUGGGUAAAGGCCCACCAAGGCGACGAUCCGUAGCUGGUCUGAGAGGAUGAUCGGCCACACUGGAACUGAGACACGGUCCAGACUCCUACGGGAGGCAGCAGUGGGGAAUAUUGGACAAUGGGCGCAAGCCUGAUCCAGCAAUACCGCGUGGGUGAAGAAGGCCUUCGGGUUGUAAAGCCCUUUUGUUGGGAAAGAAAAGCAGCAGGUUAAUCCCCCGCUGUUCUGACGGUACCCAAAGAAUAAGCACCGGCUAACUUCGUG
rnacentral:rRNA from 1 species